GACGAACGCUGGCGGCGUGCCUAAUACAUGCAAGUAGAACGCUGAAGGAGGAGCUUGCUUCUCUGGAUGAGUUGCGAACGGGUGAGUAACGCGUAGGUAACCUGCCUGGUAGCGGGGGAUAACUAUUGGAAACGAUAGCUAAUACCGCAUAAGAGUAGAUGUCGUAUGACAUUUGCUUAAAAGGUGCAAUUGCAUCACUACCAGAUGGACCUGCGUUGUAUUAGCUAGUUGGUGAGGUAACGGCUCACCAAGGCAACGAUACAUAGCCGACCUGAGAGGGUGAUCGGCCACACUGGGACUGAGACACGGCCCAGACUCCUACGGGAGGCAGCAGUAGGGAAUCUUCGGCAAUGGACGGAAGUCUGACCGAGCAACGCCGCGUGAGUGAAGAAGGGUUUCGGAUCGUAAAGCUCUGUUGUAAGAGAAGAACGAGUGUGAGAGUGGAAAGUUCACACUGUGACGGUAUCUUACCAGAAAGGGACGGCUAACUACGUG
rnacentral:rRNA from 1 species